UUGAUUAGGAUUUGAGCUAAACUCUGCUGGAAAGUGGAUCUUGUGGGCCAGACUUGAGGAUCCCUGCUAUAUAGCAACUCUCAACUGCCAGCUUUUUUUGUAGCAAAAUGUAACUAUAUAUAUAAAGUUGUAUAUUAUCUCCCUGCUCUAAACAAAGGUGGAUACAUUAUACUGUCUGCUGACAAGAGUCUGACCUAAAAUCUCCUCUCCGUCUCAUCCGAUGCCACCGAGCCGAACGCAAGGCUAUUUGAGGAGCACACCGACUCUAUUUCAGCUAUCCAUUUAAAUUCUACCCAUCCAAACAGACUUGCGCAUUAGUGUGGACUCACAGGAGUCGUUCAGUCUCGAUCCUGCCAGCUGCAUCUCAUCCAAACACAAGCGGGACACACCCAGGAUGGCAGGACGGGCCAGACGUUGGCAAUAAGACUUCAAACUAAAUAAAACAGAUGACAAGGAGAGAUCCAAACCACUUCUGUACCAAUCUGUAGUUUAAAUAUUAUAGCAUGCAUGACCUU